GACGAAACGCUGGCGGCGUGCCUAAACACAUGCAAGUCGAACGAAGAAAUGUUUUUCGGAAUAUUCUUAGUGGCGGACGGGUGAGUAACGCGUGAACAAUCUGCCCCGUACAAAGGGAUAGCCUCGGGAAACCGGGAUUAAAACCAUAUAACACUUAACUGCCGCAUGGUAGUGAAGUCAAAUCGAUUAAGAGGUAUGGGAUGAGUUCGCGUCUGAUUAGCUAGUUGGUGAGGUAAGGGCUCACCAAGGCGACGAUCAGUAGCCGGCCUGAGAGGGUGAACGGCCACACUGGAACUGAGACACGGUCCAGACUCCUACGGGAGGCAGCAGUGGGGAAUAUUGCACAAUGGAGGGAACUCUGAUGCAGCGACGCCGCGUGAGUGAAGAAGGUCUUCGGAUCGUAAAACUCUGUCCUUGGUGAAGAAAAGGACGGUAGCCAAGGAGGAAGCCCCGGCUAACUACGUG
rnacentral:rRNA from 1 species